GCCACUGUCCUGUGCCGAAGUGUGUUGUUCGUUUAAUGUGCUGAACCUUGUAGAAGAAGAAUUGUUUAGUUCCGAAAUGGUGAAAGUCACUCUGUGGAGAUGCAGACGUUAUCAAACUCCAUCCUUCUUGCUAUAAUUUUGUAGAAGCAUUGUCUUGCAACAACAAAAAAAGUGUCACCUUUUUGGGCCCUCAGCAGUUUGCAUCCCUGACUGCUUCUUGACACAGUGCCAGCUUGACUCAGAAGCCAGCCGGAGGAAACACCUGGCGACCAUGUCAGCGUGCAUUGCGCCCAGCCCGCCACAGGAGUCGCUAGUGCACGAUGCGACAGUAACAUCCCGGCCGGCCAAACCCUCCCCUAACCCGGACAACACUGGGCCAAUUGUGCGCCGCCCUACGGGUCUCCCGGUCGCGGGCGGCUGCGACAGAGCCUGGACUCAAACCAGGUUCUCUAGUGGCACACCUAGCACUACGAUGCAGUGCCUUAGACCACUGCGCCACUCGGGAAGCCCUGAAAGAAAAAAAAAAAAAACAUUACUCAAUUUUAGAAUAAGGCUGUAACGUAACAAAAUGUGGAAAAAGUCAAGGGGUCUGAAUACUUUUCAAAGACACUGUAAGCUGCUGUAUAUACAGGGUCACUCAACCGUGUGGGAGUCAAAACCAUCAGUUUAGAAUUUCCUGUCAUGUACUGAGGAAAUGUAACAGUUUAGGGGGAGGAGUGGGGGAAGAGGGAGUAGUAGGGGAGGAGAGAGUGGGUGGGGGAGGAGUGGAGGUCAAUCUGGUUGUAUUGAAAUAGGAUCACCGCCUGGUAUGGCAACUGCUCGGCAUCCGACCGCAAGGUGCUACAGAGGGUUGUGCGUACUGCCCAAUACGUCACUUGGGCCAAGUUUCCUGCAAUCCAGGACCUACAGUGGCUUGCGAAAAUAUUCACACCCCUUGGCAUUUUUCAUAUUUUGUUGCCUUACAACCUGGAAUUAAAAUUAGAUUUUUGGGGGUUUGUAUCUUUUGAUUUACACAACAUGUCUACCACUUUGAAGAUGCAAAAUAAUUUUUAUUGUGAAAUAAACAAGAAAUAAGACAAAAAAACCCGGAAAACUUGAGCAUGCAUAACUAUUCACCCUCCCCAAAAGUCAAUACUUUGUAGAGCCACCUUUUGCAGCAAUUGCAGCUGCAAGUCUCUUGGGGUAUGUGAACCCAAAGCAUUGAGGUUAGCCUACAUCAUCCUCAGUAAAUACAGAAGUACCUGGAGGGUGAACCCAAAGCAUUGAGGUUAGCCUACAUCAUCCUCAGUAAAUACAGAAGUACCUGGAGUGUGAACCCAAAGCAUUGAGGUUAGCCUACAUCAUCCUCAGCAAAUACAUUAAGUGUAAUGGUCUGCAUAUCCAAUCAAACGUCACUAAUGGAUAAUAAAUUAUAAUCUAUAGAUCAUUUUACCACUCCCCUUCUCCCCUCCUUGGAAAACUCAGAUUGCCCUUGGUGUAUUCCAGUGGAGGCUGCUGAGGAGAGGACUGCUUAUAAUAAUGGCUGGAACGGAGCAAACCAUGUGUUUGAUGUAUUUGAUACAAUUCCGCUCCAGUUAUUACCACGAGCGCGUCCUCCCAAAUGAAGAUGCCACCAACCUCCUGUGGUGUAUUCCACAUCAGUUCUGUCAUUGUCAUUCUCACCAACGGCAUGAGCAUGUAGGGUCAACAUUUACCACCAAGUCAUUGGAUCUCUGUACGUACUUGAUGUUAUGAAACAACAAGCAAAUGGAAGAGUUGAGGGUUGGGACUGUGAGGCUGAGCUGAUUCUUUCUGUGGUACUCUCUACAUAUGAUCAUAGCUGCACAGAAUCUCUGUCUCCCCACUGUAAUUUCUGGUGUACAACAGGGAAAAUAACGAUGGCUUUCUGUCACGCCCUGACCUUAGAGAGCCUUUUUUAUUCUCUAUUUUGUUAGGUCAGGGUGUGACUUGGGUGGGCAAAUCUAUGUUUAUAUUUCUUUGUUGGCCUAGUAUGGUUCCCAAUCAGAGGCAGCUGUUUAUCGUUGUCUCUGAUUGGGGAUCAUACUUAGGCAGCCCUUUUUCCCACCUGUGAUUGUGGGAUCUUGUUUUUGUAUAGCUGCUGUGAAGCCUGCAGAACGUUACAUUCGGUUUUGUGUUUUGUUGGUGUUCAUCUAAUAAUAGAAAAAUGUACGCUUACCACGCUGCACCUUGGUCUCAUUCCGACAACGGACGUAACACUUUCUCUCUCCCCUCCCCACCCCUGCCCUACCCUCUCCUUCCUCUGUUUUAGCUGAAGGCCUGUCUGCCCUUACAAAAUAAACACGUCAAAUUUGUAGUUUGACAUGUGAAAAUCGUAUUUUCACAAUUUUGAGCUUACAUUUCAAAUGUGAAACCAUAUUUUCAUCUGUAUUAAAUGUGGAGUUAACACCACCUUUUCACAUGUAAGAAGAAAAACGUGUUUUCACCUCACGUGAAUUGUACGGUUUCACAUGUUAAAAACUCUCACGUAAGAAAACGUCACGUGAAAAUUUCACUUUCACAUAUGGAAUUGCAUUUUCACAUGUAGAAAACAAUCAUGUAAAAAUCACAUUUGCAGAAAACUCCUCGUGAAAAAUCUAUCUUUCACAUGUGGAAUUGCAAGUUCACAUGUGGUGGUGAAAUAGUGCUAUACUCCUCACAUGUGAAAAAGGUGGUGUUAACAUGUUUACACAUGGAAAUGCCAAUUCUGUGAAAAGGUCAUUUAUUAUUCUCAGGCUAAAUCAAUCACUAAUUUCUGAGCCAUCCAUUCAGAGUGUUACUGCUGCAGGUGCGCGCCUCUCUUCAUACGUUGGUCAGUGACAGUCGGAAGAAGCCCAGUGAAAAGAACAGAGAAGCUAGAGCUCCAUGUCUCCUUAUUUAUCCUGUUUAACAUGUUCAAAUUAGCGAGGUCAGAGUUCAUCAUGCUAACUCAAGUUAACAUUUUGUAAUUGUAGUGCACAAUUUUUUUUAUUUAAUGGCAUUGUAUGAAAGCGUUCAAAAUACACUCAAAACAUCCAACAUACAUUAUCUAUACAGCUAAAAACAAUGCAAUGUCAAUGGAGGCUAUAUGUAGUCUUUUCACAUUCCUGACCUUUGAUCUUUGUGACUGUGCAGUCUGAUGCUUGUUGUGUGUCUGAUCUGUAUAAUGAGUGAAGGUCUUUUUCAUUUAUUUUUUUUAUGUUGUCUGUCUGUUUGUCUAUUUUUGUAUCUUUAGGUUAUUUGUUUGUUUCUAUUGUUUUUGUUUUCUGGUAUGAUUUAUGUGUAUUUUUCUUACUCUCUAAAAGCCACAAAACAACAGCAAAAAACAAGUUGAUUUUGAGGUUUUAUGUAACUAGGCAAGUCAGUUAAGAACAAAUUCUUAUUUACAAUGACGGCCUACACCAGGCAAAAACCAGACGACGCUGGGCCAAUUGUGUGCCGCUAUAUGGGACUCCCAAUCACGGCCGGAUGUGAAGCGCCACACGGGUCUAAGACACUGCAUCUCAGUGCAAGAAGCGUCAUUUAUUUAUCCAUUUUUGUGUAAAAAAAAAUAAAAAAUCGUACAUAACAGCUCAAUUUGAGCAAAUUAUGAAAUUGCCAUUAAUCACGAUUGCUCAUAGCAAAUCUUGCAAUAAACUCGAUGUAUUGUUUUGAAUAAUGAAUAAACAGCCCUAGUUGACA